ACGGCCGGCAGAGCGCGGAGGCGGCGCGGCCGCGCGGGGCUGCGGGCUCCCUAGGAGGUUGCGACCAGCCCAGCUGGCGUCCCCCGCCGCGCUCUUCCUCCCCGGCCUUUCGUUCCCCGAGACCACCCACCGUAUGCCUCCCGGACCUGCAAACCCGAGGCCGAGAGCGGAUCUGCACCUGGCGCUUUCCCGCACUGGGCAGAGGGCUUCCCGGCAAGGAUCUGUGUUCGCGCUGGCGAUGCGCAGUGAAGAAAGGCAAGGGGCUGCGGACGCGCUCGGUACUCUACGAGCGGGAGGAAGCAAGAUGCGCUCGCCGGAUCCGCGGGACCCUGCCCGCGUCGCGCGCUCGCCCCCAGGCCCGGGAACGCGGCGCCUUGGGAAUCCCUCCAGCGAAACCCCGUAUCUCCACGGCUCCCGAGGGCCGAGGCCGGGGCUGCCUUUGGUUUUGAAUGGAAGGUGGGGAAUGGGAUGGGGCCUCCGGAUACCCAAACGUGGAUUACUUGGUGCGUAUGAGCCGGGCUACGAAGAUUCACGUCUCCACGGCGGAUUGAUUCAUUCUGCUUGACAGUCGGGCCUCUGACCUGGAGGUGAAAUCAGAGGUUCGUGGCUGACCUGGGUUGGUGCUUUGAACCAGGAAAGAAGGACAAGAAAAAAGGCCUGGAAAGGAGGACAGCUAAGGGCUGUUCUUCUUUGCCCACAUUUCCCACCAGGAAGCUUGGUGGGGCCAAGGGGUGCCACCAGCACCACCCCCGCCGAAGGACCUGGCUGAAAUAUGACCAUCUCUUAAGAGACAAGAGCUUUGGUUUGGAUUGAGAAUUUUUAUUCUGGAGAAUAAAGAAUCUUCCGGAUUGGAGAAGACAUUUGAGGAGGAAGCAAAGACUGCCUGCCCCGAGGAGUGGGCUGUGUGUUGACCUGCAAGAGCUGGAGGUGACCUACAGUUGGAGAAGACACCAUUAUUCCAGACUUCUGUCUUAUGGAAAACGUUUCCUCUGCUGCCGCCUGCUCUGAAGACUCCCCCACCGCAGUCCCCGGAGCCCAAGGGCUUUCUAGCACACCCUUCUCGCCCCUACCUCCCACCUCUGCUGUGCCUUUAGACUCAACAGUUCUUGUUUGCUCCAUUAUCUUCCAGCCGGAUACAGAGUGAAUAGUUAACUACACUUCAGUCAAAUGGGAUCUUACUUUUUGUUCCUUGUCCUCCUAACAUGGCCAGUGUUUGUGCAUUGCCAUGCAAGCAGCCGUGGAGUAGUACCCCCUCUCACUCAUUUGGGGUCUGGCCUCACAGGUUCUGGGGUGUUGCAGUGCAGAAGCUCUUCAGGCUCUCAGAUGGAGGGGGCUUCAGCAGGGCUGCUGGCUGGUGAAGGCUGGUGCUCUCCAUGGUCAGCUUUCUUUGUUCGGAUCACACCCAGGUGUCUGUCGGGAAGAGCAGAAAAAAAAAAAGGAUAACGUUGUUGACUCGAUCUUUUGAUUCAGAUGCACAACCAGCUGUGAAGACCUUCGCUCAGGUGGCAGUUGGGGUCCACGCCAGAACAUGGCGCUUCGUUACAGACUGUCUGACUCUCAGAGUUGCUGGUGUGUCUUGAGGACCCUGUUCCUCCAGUGUGUGCCAAUGACGUGCCUUCCUGACAGCAGGUUGGGCCUGCAAAACAGAAGUCCUGGUUGUCUCCUUCCCUCUGUAGCCAUCAUACACACGGCUGGAAACACUUCCUAGAUAUUGGUGAUAGUUCAACUUUAUCCAACAAGCAGAACGAAAGAUGUUUGUACUUCCUGCUUCCAAUGGGAAUGAAUAGAGGGCUUGCUUUGUAAAAAGAAUUAAAGCUAUACCUGUAUAUCUUC